ACGCACGCUGGCGGCGUGCUUCACACAUGCCAGUCGAACGGAAAGGCCCCCUUGUGGGGUACUCGAGUGGCGAACGGGUGCGUAACACGUGAGUAACCUACCCUUGACUUUGGGAUAACUUCAGGAAACUGGGGCUAAUACCGGAUAGGAGCUCCUGCUGCAUGGUGGGGGUUGGAAAGUUUCGGCGGUUGGGGAUGGACUCGCGGCUUAUCAGCUUGUUGGUGGGGUAGUGGCUCACCAAGGCUUUGACGGGUAGCCGGCCUGAGAGGGUGACCGGCCACAUUGGGACUGAGAUACGGCCCAGACUCCUACGGGAGGCAGCAGUGGGGAAUAUUGCACAAUGGGCGGAAGCCUGAUGCAGCAACGCCGCGUGCGGGAUGACGGCCUUCGGGUUGUAAACCGCUUUCGCCUGUGACGAAGCGUGAGUGACGGUAAUGGGUAAAGAAGCACCGGCUAACUACGUG
rnacentral:rRNA from 1 species